rnacentral:rRNA from 1 species
UACGUAGGUGGCGAGCGUUGUCCGGAAUUACUGGGUGUAAAGGGCGUGUAGGCGGGAAUGCAAGUCAGAUGUGAAAUACCGAGGCUUAACCUCGGGGCUGCAUCUGAAACUGUGUUUCUUGAGUAUCGGAGAGGAAAGUGGAAUUCCCAGUGUAGCGGUGAAAUGCGUAGAUAUUGGGAGGAACACCAGUGGCGAAGGCGACUUUCUGGACGAUAACUGACGCUGAGGCGCGAAAGCGUGGGGAGCAAACAGG